AUACUUACCUGGACGGGGCUCGACGGCUGAUCAAGAAGAGCUGUGGCCUAGGCUAGUGGUCCACAUUGCACUUGGUGGAUGUGCUGGCUUACCAUCUUCCCAAGUGGGAGAGUGGACGUCAUAAUUUGUCAUAAUUUGUGAUAGAGGGGGUACGCGUUCGUGCGGCCCUGCC
rnacentral:snRNA from 1 species